AUUUGAAAUGUAAGUAAAGAAAUAUAUCUAAUAAAAAAUAUUCUUGUCAGUAAGCACUUCCUGGUAUUAGCACUCAUGUGAGGGUUUAGUUUCUGUAGACAGGAUGGAUCAUACCCUCUCAGGAUGAAGGUAAUGUGGGAAGAGAGAUGGCUGACAGGAGAUGCUUGUAGGUGAUUCCCAGGAAGGCAUCUCUGAGAAACACUUGUUGCCAAUUCCCCAAAGUGUUUGCAAGGAUACUUGACUCAGUUUUGUAGAGAACAGGAUGCACCAAGCUGGGAGAUGACAGGUGCCUGGGUGUCCCUUGUGAUUCUCAGAGUGCAGUGAGGUGAGGCCUCUGUGACCUCACAGGAUAAAGCCCCGCCCUAGUAACAGCAGAGUUCUUAGCUCGAGGACAACUCAGAGUCCAGCAAGGAGGGUUGGGAUUCACAGUGAGCACAUGUGUUUGCCCAUGUUUGGGCUGUUUUGUGGAAUGGGCACUACCUGAACUUCAUCACGAACAUUGGCCAUAGAUGAUGGCUAACAACAAAGUAAUUUUGGACAAAUAUGGACUCAAAUGUAUGCUGUAUUUCAAUUCCAAAAAGAAGAAGAUACCUUGACCCCAAAAAUUUAUGGACCUACCUAGGUGGGAAUGAGACGUAAUAGGCCCAGAGAACAAACAAAAACAAGUAUGUCUCCUGGCCAAACCCUGACUUUGAAGGAGUCCAUGUCCAAAACAAGUAGAGAUAUAGGCUUGGCCCGGUCCCUGACAAUGAAGAGGCCCGGGCCAAAAGGGAGUACUGAUGUGGGCCUGGGCCUAUCACUAACCAUGGAAGAGGCCCAGACCCAGAGAAGAAGAAAAGUAGGCCUGGGCCAAUCACUGACCCUGAAGAGGCCUGGGCCCAAAAAGAAGAAAUAUGGGCCUGGGCCUAUCCUUAACCCUUGAAGAAGCUUGGGUCCAAAUGAAGAAGUGAUAUGGGCCUGGGCCUAUCCUUAACCCUUGAAGAGGCCUGGGCCCAAAGGAAGAACUGAUGUGGACCUGGGCCUAUCCUUAACCCUUGAAGAGGCCUGGGCCCAAAUGAAGAAGUGAUGUGGGCCUGGGCCUAUCCCUUACCCUUGAAGAGGCCUGGGCCCAAGGAGGAAGAAAGAUGGGCCUGGGCCAAUCCCUGACCCUGAAGAGGCCUGGGCCCAAAAAGAAGAAAUAUGGGCCUGGGCCUAUCCUUAACCCUUGAAGAGGCCUGGGCCCAAAGAAGAAGAAAUAUGGGCCUGGGCCAAUCCCAAAACCUUGAGGAGGCCUGGUCCCACAGAAGAAGAAAUAUGGGCCUGGGCCAAUCCCUGACCCUGAAGAGGCCUGGGUCCAAAAAGAAGAAAUAUGGGCCUGGGUCAAUCCCUGACCCGGAAGAGGCCUGGGCCCUAAGAAGUGUGUGGGCCUGGGCCUAUCCCUAACUCUUGAAGAGGCCUGGGCCCAAAAAGAACAAAUAUGGGCCUGGGCCAUUCCCUGACCCAGAAAGGGCCUGGGCCCAAAUGAAGAAGUGAUGUGGGCCUGGGACUAUCCCUGACCUUGAAGAGGCCUGGGCCCAAAAAGAAGAAAUAUGGGCCUGGGCCGAUCCCUAACUCUUGAAGAGGCCUGGGCCCAAAAAGAAGAAAUAUGGGCCUGGGCCUAUCCUUAACCCUUGAAGAGGCCUGGGUCCAAAUGAGAAGUGAUAUGGGCCUGGGCCUAUCCUUAACCCUUGAAGAGGCCUGGGCCCAAAGAAGAGGAAAUAUGGGCCUGGACCAAUCCCAAAACCUUGAGGAGGCCUGGUCCCACAGAAGAAGAAAUAUGGGCCUGGGCCAAUCCCUGACCCUGAAGAGGCCUGGGCCCUAAGAAGUGUGUGGGCCUGGGCCUAUCCCUAACUCUUGAAGAGGCCUGGGCCCAAAAAGAACAAAUAUGGGCCUGGGCCAUUCCCUGACCCAGAAAAGACCUGGGCCCAAAUGAAGAAGUGAUGUGGGCCUGGGACUAUCCCUGACCUUGAAGAGGCCUGGGCCCAAAAAGAAGAAAUAUGGGCCUGGGCCGAUCCCUAACUCUUGAAGAGGCCUGGGCCCAAAAAGAAGAAAUAUGGGCCUGGGCCUAUCCUUAACCCUUGAAGAGGCCUGGGUCCAAAUGAAGAAGUGAUAUGGGCCUGGGCCUAUCCUUAACCCUUGAAGAGACCUGGGCCCAAAGAAGAAGAAAUAUGGGCCUGGACCAAUCCCAAAACCUUGAGGAGGCCUGGUCCCACAGAAGAAGAAAUAUGGGCCUGGGCUAAUCCCUGACCCUGAAGAGGCCUGGGCCCAAAAAGAAGAAAUAUGGGCCUGGGUCAAUCCCUGACCCGGAAGAGGCCUGGACCCUAAGAAGUGUGUGGGCCUGGGCCUAUCCCUAACUCUUGAAGAGGCAUGAGCCCCCCCCCCCACCCCAAAAAAAAAAAAAAAACAAAUAUGGGCCUGGGCCAAUCCCUGACCCAGAAAAGGCCUGGGCCCAAAUGAAGAAGUGAUGUGGGCCUGGGACUAUCCCUGACCUUGAAGAGGCCUGGGCCCAAAAAGAAGAAAUAUGGGCCUGGGCCAAUCCCUGACCCAGAAAAGGCCUGGGCCCAAAUGAAGAAGAAAUAUGGGCCUGGGUCAAUCCUUGAUCCUGAAGAGGCCUGGGCCCAAAAAAAGUGUGUGGGCCUGGGCCUAUCCCUAACCCUUGAAGAGUCCUGGGCCCAAAAAGAAGAAAUAUGAGCCUGGGCCAAUCCCUGACCGAGAAGAGGUCUGAGCCCAAAUGAAGAAGUGAUGUGGGCCUGGGUCUAUCCCUUACCCUUGAAGAGGCCUGGGCCCAAAGGAAGAACUGAUGUGGACCUGGGCCUAUCCUUAACCCUUGAAGAGGCCUGGGCCCAAAUGAAGAAGUGAUGUGGGCCUGGGCCUAUCCCUUACCCUUGAAGAGGCCUGGGCCCAAGGAGGAAGAAAGAUGGGCCUGGGCCAAUCCCUGACCCUGAAGAGGCCUGGGCCCAAAAAGAAGAAAUAUGGGCCUGGGCCUAUCCUUAACCCUUGAAGAGGCUUGGGUCCAAAUGAAGAAGUGAUAUGGGCCUGGGCCUAUCCUUAACCCUUGAAGAGGCCUGGGCCCAAAGAAGAAGAAAUAUGGGCCUGGGCCAAUCCCAAAACCUUGAGGAGGCCUGGUCCCACAGAAGAAGAAAUAUGGGCCUGGGCCAAUCCCUGACCCUGAAGAGGCCUGGGUCCAAAAAGAAGAAAUAUGGGCCUGGGUCAAUCCCUGACCUGGAAGAGGCCUGGGCCCUAAGAAGUGUGUGGGCCUGGGCCUAUCCCUAACUCUUGAAGAGGCCUGGGUCCCAAAAGAACAAAUAUGGGCCUGGGCCAUUCCCUGACCCAGAAAGGGCCUGGGCCCAAAUGAAGAAGUGAUGUGGGCCUGGGACUAUCCCUGACCUUGAAGAGGCCUGGGCCCAAAAAGAAGAAAUAUGGGCCUGGGCCGAUCCCUAACUCUUGAAGAGGCCUGGGCCCAAAAAGAAGAAAUAUGGGCCUGGGCCUAUCCUUAACCCUUGAAGAGGCCUGGGUCCAAAUGAAGAAGUGAUAUGGGCCUGGGCCUAUCCUUAACCCUUGAAGAGGCCUGGGCCCAAAGAAGAAGAAAUAUGGGCCUGAACCAAUCCCAAAACCUUGAGGAGGCCUGGUCCCACAGAAGAAGAAAUAUGGGCCUGGGCCAAUCCCUGACCCUGAAGAGGCCUGGGCCCAAAAAGAAGAAAUAUGGGCCUGGGCCAAUCCCUGACCCAGAAAAGGCCUGGGCCCAAAUGAAGAAGAAAUAUAGGCCUGGGUCAAUCCUUGAUCCUGAAGAGGCCUGGGCCCAAAAGAAGUGUGUGGGCCUGGGCCUAUCCCUAACCCUUGAAGAGUCCUGGGCCCAAAAAAGAAGAAAUAAGGGCCUGGGCCAAUCCCUGACCGAGAAGAGGUCUGAGCCCAAAUGAAGAAGUGAUGUGGGCCUGGGCCUAUCCCUUACCCUUGAAGAGGCCUGGGCCCAAAGGAAGAACUGAUGUGGACCUGGGCCUAUCCUUAACCCUUGAAGAGGCCUGGGCCCAAAUGAAGAAGUGAUGUGGGCCUGGGCCUAUCCCUUACCCUUGAAGAGGCCUGGGCCCAAGGAGGAAGAAAGAUGGGCCUGGGCCAAUCCCUGACCCUGAAGAGGCCUGGGCCUAAAGGAACAACUGAUGUGGUCCUGGGCCUAUCCCUAACCGUUGAAGAGGCCUGGGUCCAAAGAAGAAGAAAUACAGGCCUGGGUCAAUCCCUGACCCUGAAGAGGCCUGGGCCCCAAAAAAUGUGAUGUGGGCCUGGGCCAAUCUUUACCCCUUGUCGAAGCCUGACCCCAAAAAUAAGAAAUAUGGGCCUGGGCCAAUAUGAAGAAGUGAUGUGGGCCAGGUCCUAUCCCUAACCCUUGAAGAGGCCUGGCCCCAAAGAAGAAGAAAUAUCGACCUGAGCCAAUCCCUGACCUUGAACAGGCCUCGGCCAAAAUUAAGAGAUGGGGCCUCGGACUAUCCUUAGUCCUUAAGAGACUCAGGCCCAGCAUAUGAGAGAUGUGGACCUAGGCCUAUUUCUGACCUUCAAGAAGCCUGGGUCCUAAUCAAGUAUGGGUUAUAGAUUAGGCUUUUUCUUCAAAUAACAAGGCUUGGGCCAAAUGAUUAUUGCCAAUCUCAACCCUUUCGAUAUAGUUUGGCCCAAAUGUAAUAUCUAAAUUGUCUUGUAUUUACUCUUACUCAAGGAAGCCUUGUCCCAAACAAAUAAGUGUGGCUAGUUCAAGCCUAAAAUGAAACAACACUGUGGUUAGUAUACCAUGAAGUGAUCUGAUUCAAUGUCUUAAUUUCAACUGAUACUAUGAUUAUCUAUGCCUAGGCCAUACCCACUACUCUAGGAUGGUUUGGCACAACCACAAGAGGUGCUGGUCUGAGGAGUGCAAUAAUGUCAAAGACCAUAGUGUGACAUCAGAGGGAUCCUGGCAGCUCCCUGACUACAGAGUACCCAAGGUCCAGCUUAAAUUCAAUUGUGUGUGGGCUACUCCCUCCCUUAUUAAGAUCCUUGACAACUUUCACUACAAGGAAGCCAGGACCACAACAAGGCCUUGUAGUCUUACAUUAUUCUUUAGCAGACGUUUCGUGCUCCAGCAUUGUGUACAUAGUUUUCAAUAAAUAUAAUGUUCAUCUGCUA